rnacentral:piRNA from 1 species
UGGGACACAGACUGCCCAGAGGGUCCGGG